rnacentral:rRNA from 1 species
CGUUAGAUCACCGAAGUCAAGCAUCAUUGGGCGCGGUCAGUACUUGGGUGGGUGACCACCUGGGAACACCGCGUGCCGUU